rnacentral:tRNA from 4 species
GGUCCCGUAGCUCAGAAGGAUAGAGCAGCGCUUUCCUAAAGCGCGGGUCGGCAGUUCGAAUCUGCCCGGGACCGCCA